rnacentral:lncRNA from 1 species
GCUUUGUUAGAUAACUUGAAUUCCCUCAUGAAAUGCUACUCUCCUCCCAAUCCUGAUCUGUUGCUCUGAAAAGAAGCCUGCUUUCAGAUUCUUGUGGUGGUUUAAUAAUGUGCCAAAAUGGGUCCACGAUGGAACGAGCUUUUAAGAAAUGCAGGAUAUACACCCUCACCGCUAAAUCAGCUUGUCUACCUGUCACAUUCAGGGCAACUUGGAAACAAUCUACAGCUCAAGGGAUGCUAGGCUUCCUUUUCCAGUCACUACCACUACAUCCUUUUGUGUGGAUCAGCCUGCUGGAAAAUGAGUCAAGAAUAAGAAACGUGGGCCUGGCAUCCUGCUGCAGGGUAUUUCUUGACUUUCCUCCCUUAAUAGGCCAUCACGCAUGCUUUGUUCCUGUUCUCCUCAUGACAUCAUCUUACCAAGAAGCCUAAGUGGUGAAAAAUACUGUGAAAGGGAGCAGUAACUUUAAAAUGUUUCACUUAUUCAUGGAUUUUUUGUUGUUUUUAAGAUCUCAACUUUGGUCAUUCAAUAUAAAAAGAUCAGAAAAUUGCUUUGAGUGCCUGUAUCUGUCUGCUUUGAGCUGAAAAAGCAUCUUGGUCAGGGGAAGAGAAGUCCUGCAGAGAUGAAAAAACCAAAGUGGAUGGCAAGUGGACUAGCUCUGUACUUCCCCUUAGGCCCUCAAACAUUGCUACCAGUUGUCAUGAAGCUUGCCAAUAAUUCUUAGGAAGGGGAAAUCUCAGAACCCCAUUUCCUGAUCGGCUCCUUUUAUGCUUUCCUUGAACAUGUCUCAGUUCUGAAGUUGUGCUGCCUGAAAAGAUUGACUUUGGAUUCUGUGGCAAGCCAAUGCAAAAUUACCCUGGGUGAUGCUGGAAGCUUUUGCAUGGGAAUAUCCUUUUUAUGCUGGCAGUUUGUUACUCAAGUGACAGACAAAUGCCUGGCAAGAAAAAGCCUUGAUUUCACUGUUCCUGCUAUUGCAUUUGUAUUGCACACUAUCAUUAAUUAUUUGCCAUCUUGUAAGAAGCCCUCGGGAGCCUCAUUCUCCACUGCCUCACACCUCAUGUAAUCAUUGACAUCAGUGCAAAGUGAGUGCAAAACACUCUCACACAUCUGCACACAGAGUGGUCCAACUCCAGUGGCAUUCCAGCAGACAGGACAGUGGAGGCUGAGUCUGGAAAGCAUCAGAGGGUGCAUAUGCCCACCACUCUUCUUUGCACAAGACAAGCAGCACUGGUUCACCUUUAGCUUGAUGCCACUGGCCAAGCAAGAGGACAGACAGACAGACUCCUGACUGCCUCGCAGCAGUGCCCUAGAUCUUCUUGAGCCUCACCACCAGCUGCACGAGGUGCUGCAGACCCUUUGCCAUGUGAGUCUGUCACCGACAGUGGCAUGUGGGACAUGCGCCCUGCUGAUGGUGCUUUGUGGGGUGACAGGGGUUCCUUUCUGCUGCAGCCCUGAGGAGCUGCUGGGGGGUGCCAGACCUCCCUCCAUGGCCAGGGUUCCUCCCAGCAGAGCAGGACAGCCCUCAUGAGCUGGAUUUCUAAACGCAGGGGGGCAUUGGUAGCUGGGCUGUGGAUGGGACACGCCAGGCCCUGGGGCACCUGGAGGAGGAGAUGGCUGGGGUGAUGUGGAAGGAGACCAUGAUGUGUGGCCAAUGUCAUCCAGAAAUAAAAAGGGAGUGGUAGCAGGACA